AGGUGUGCGCCACCACACCCGGCUUGAUUUCUUUUUUUAAUGUUAUAUCUGCAUCAAAAAAAAAUAGUAGGCUAGUAGCAAUCCAAACCUGGCCAUGAGGACCGCUCGCUCUACAGUGAUUAGCCUGGAUCCACACAUUGUGUUAGAAGGAAGAACAGCAAGCUAAAACGAAGGCGGGUCAUUUGCUCUGAUUUUGGUUCAAGAAGAGACCCUAGAAGUAUAAAUAGGUUUCAGACCGGCAUUAAGCGGUCGGGCUCCUGGGAUCACACGACAGCCCCGGGUGAUGUAAUGUUUUUCCUUGUGUGCCCUGGAUCUUGUCACUGGAAAAUGUGCUCUUUACCUUUGUGAGCCUUGGGUAAGCCUUCCAUACUCAGUGGAGGAAAAAAACAAAAACAAAUUCUUAACAGGAAGCCAUUAAAUAACCGUUCACUUUAAAUGAAUGCUUCACAGAGAAGUGACGACAUAAUUGGGAAGAAGAGGUAACUGGGAGAGGAACCAAGGGUCCCUGAGCCAUUUGGGCUUUCUCCAUAAGCCCUCUUCCUGAAAAUUGCCAAAGGAAGUCCCAGGAAGCCUGUCAGGAAAUCCCAUUUUCUCCAUGCCUGCUAGGGAACCCCUUACAAGCCACAGCACACCGACAAAGGGUGUAAACGGGUGCAUUGCUGAACCGCUUCCAGGUUGAAGAAGAGUCCUGGCGAGAAAGGGCUGCAAAUAGCUUGGGCAGAGUGGCGUUGACUAGGGUUGAGAGUGUCAACUGUGCUCUGCCUAACUGGGGCUGGGCUCUGGACACUCCAAAAGGGGAAAAAGAAGUUGAGCCGUCUCCAGGAGUAACCUCUGUGAGCCUAGACUGUUCUUGGAGAGGUCCUGCUCUGCUUACAUAGCAGCAGAGAGACUUGGGGAGCCGGGACCUGCUGUGCACCCAUGAGACAUCAUGACUACGCUUGCAGGUUCUGAGCCCACGGGACACUUUUGGAAGCGCAGGCAUCCUCGCGCGGCGAGUUCGGUGAGGGACCACCAGGAGGCGCGCUUGCGUUUCGGACGCUCUGAGGCGCCGCCGAUCGCGGUUUCCCUGCAAAAAUAUUCAGCUGAUCUGAUCUGAUCUUCCUGCUUGUGACACUGUGGUACUGUAACCACAAGGCUUGGCAGUCAUCAUGAGAGGCCAGCCUCGAACCUCUGUGAGUUCACGAAGGAGGUGAGGUUUUCCCCCCAGCCAUCUACACUUCCUGGAUCAACAACAAGUCUCCAGGGUCUGCUCUACAUGAUGCCAUACAAGAAACCAGGAGUGGGCAGCAGACACAGGGCGGGCAGCCACUGCAAUAUCCUCCGGGAGGCAGGCAUAGAGAGGGCAAGCCUGGGACAGGAGCUGUAACUCACAGCUCAGUGAUGAGCAUGUAUAGGCUUGGGAAGCUCUAAGUCCUAUCUCCAGCCCAAACAAUAGCAUUAAAACCCUACACAUUGCCAGACGUGGUGGCACAUGUCGAUAAUCCUAGCAUUCCGGAG